CACGGUUCAGCUGCAUCAGGCUUACCAACGCCCGGAUGCAGCCGUGCUGGU
ensembl:miRNA cin-mir-4197 cin-mir-4197